GGGAGGCCUGCGGCAGAGAAACGAAAGGAGGUAUAUUCAGACGUGCUAAUCACGUCUGCGGGACUUUCGUUAUUUCUUCACCUCGAUUUCCCCCAUUUGCUCUGUGCCAUAGGUUUUCCCUUUAAGAGGAGUUCGAGCUGUCAAUUUUCAACUUUUUCAAUUAUCUGUUGAAUACAUCAUUUAAGUGUACAAGUUAAAUAUUUCAAACAGCUGACAUGUUAACCAAUUUUAAACAGACUGCACAUCAUGUUAUCUGUAACUUGAGCC
rnacentral:lncRNA from 1 species